GACGAACGCUGGCGGCGUGCUUAACACAUGCAAGUCACGGGGGCCCGCAAGGGUAACCGGCGAACGGGGUGCGUAACACGUGAGCAACCUGCCUUUGUGUGGGGGAUAGCCGGGCUAACGCCCGGGUAAUACCGCAUACGGUUCCCGAGGGGAGUCCCUUGGGAAAGAAACCUCCGGGGCACAAAGAGGGGCUCGCGGCCUAUCAGCUAGUUGGCGGGGUAAUGGCCCACCAAGGCAUCGACGGGUANCUGGUCUGAGAGGAGGCCAGCCACAUUGGGACUGAGAUACGGCCCAGACUCCUACGGGAGGCAGCAGUGGGAAUAUUGCGCAAUGGCCGCAAGGCUGACGCAGCGACGCCGCGUGUGGGAUGACGCCUUU
rnacentral:rRNA from 1 species